UCUCGGGAUGGGUGGUCACCUUUGCUUGCUGAGCUUCGCGCCCUGCGUCCUCUGGUCUCCAGCAACUUGCAGUGCAGCCGUCCCGCAUGAGGCCCUCCAGCGAAUGCCCUAAAACUCCGGAGUUGCCUCGGAGGAAAGCAGGCUUGCCCUGAGAGUCCACGUCCUUACUGCCCGUGCCGUCGUGGUGCCUUGAGGGCACCCUUCUGGGAAGAUCCUUGCAGAGGCCAUGUCCCCUCUCCACGACAUCUAAGCCCAGUCCCAACUUGCUUUUCACGCCUGUCCCCCCGGGGAACGUCUGCUGGACCUCAGGACAGCCCCUCAGCCCCGUGCAUUCCCGAGGUGAAUCUGCAGCGAAGCCUCUGUGGUGACUCACAGUUGCUAGCAUUGGUUAUUCUUCUUCCUGGCAGAAGGCGGCAGGCUGAUGCUGGCCCCGUUCCUGUGUGUCUGACAAAUCACAAAUGUGAAUUCAGAUCGUCACAGCUGAGUCACGCUCAGGAUUUCCAUGAGCCCUGCUGGGGUGGCCAGCUGAACUUCCUUCCCCACAGCCCCCCUCCAGCUCUGCAGCACCAGGCACCAGUGUGACUCAUGGGGGCCUGUGGAAGCCGGGGCUGCUCAGUGGGGCUGAGUCUAGGAGGGGGAGAGAGAAAGGGAGCCCAGCAACAAUUACAGCGCAAACGCCGCAGCUGUCACCACCGAGUGCCUCCAGUUGGGUACGGGUUUGUGAAAUUCAUUACCCUAUGAGAUGAGUUUUAUCUCUGUUUCACUCAAGAGGAUUCUGAAGCUCAGGAGGUUGUGGAUGACUCCGGGAAGCACAGCUGAGUUGCAAACACACUGACAGCUCCCGAAUGAUCUGAUACAGGAUCCUUAAUAGGCGUGGAAGUGUUCGCCAGACAGAGAGGUCCUGCCCUUGCCGAUCUGAGCUGGUUCUGUGUUAGAGACUCCGUGGGCGUCCGUUUGACAGGAUCUGCCAGGAGUGGCAGAAUGACUUUCCUGAUCUGGAAGAGCAAAUCUCAGAUAUUUUGCACAUUUGCAGAACCUACCCCUAGGAGUGGGAGGAGACCACAACCAAAGAAUCAAAUGGAGACACAGAAUAUCAGAUGAACAGCAGCUACACAGGAGUUCAAAGAGAUGCUGCUCCCAGACUCAGGAAGUGCACCACUAGGCCGGUCCAUGGACAGUCUUCUGAGCAUGGGGCCCUCUCAGAAAUAGAGGCUGUUUCAAGAAUUCUAUAGACACUGCAUUUAUUGGGCAACUGGCAAGCUGAUGUCCCACCUAGUGGUCAGUGGGAGGUAGCCCAUUUCAAGAAGAGAUAAGAAGACUGCGUAAUAUCUUCUGCUGGGCAGAGCCUGAAGAACUGUCAGCUCACCCCAUUCUCUCCAUUUACAGAGGCCUGGGCACGUACAGCACAAGCGUGAGGCAUGACAGCCGCAGCAUGCAAUGUCCCCUGGCAAUGAGGGUGGGACUGGUGAGCAUCACUCUCCUGGAGAGAGAAAGAAAGUCAUGAGAUUAAGAGGCAUACCUUUGAAUGGUUUCCCUAAAAUAUAAAAUAUUUCAAAUACACAGAAAAGUUUAUAACACACAACACAUUCCCCACCCAACUCCCUUGAGUGCUAACAUUUUGUCACACUUGCUUUCUAUUUUGUUAAGAAACAAAACAACACACGUCCCAUCAAAGCUCCUGGAACACCCUUCCACGACCCUUUCUCUUCCCUGUCUUUCACCCAGAGGUAACCAUCAGCUCCAAUUUUGUGUCUACCUUAAAAUUACAAAAUUCAAUUUUGUGGCAUUCAAAAAUUACACUAACAUCCCACGUGUGAAUCCAUCUUUUUGCAUGUUUUCAAAAUUUAUUUUAUUGAUGACAUGCUCUAUGUAUUUUUUCUAUUACGAAUAAUGCAAUGAACUUUCUUGUGCCAUUUUCCCUAUGGAACUUCUGCAAAAGUUUCUCUAUUACUUUGUUACAUGUGGAACUGCUGGAUCAAAGAGCAAAUGUUUUCUUUCCAGAGGUGUUGUACCAAAUUACCCUUCAAAUCUCCAGGGAUAAGAAGUCCUCGUGCUCUCUAUCUGCACUUAUAUUGAGAUUGUUAGUCUUCUAAAUAUUUUCCAUUUGAUGGUUAUGUAAUGACAUUUCAUACUGCUUUGAUU